ensembl:lncRNA
CGCGACCAGGGGAGGCUGCACGGCCCACAGAGGCGGGAGAGCUGGCCCUGUGGCUGGGGAGCUCGGCCCUUUCAGAGGAGGAGCUGCCCACGGUGCACACCACCCAAGCAUGGGGGCAGGGGGACACUGCCGGAACCAGGGACCGGGCCUGGCCUUCCCCGGGAUCGUGAGUCAAGGACAGUGACCUACGUCAGCAGAGGAGGACCACGAGGCUGGCUGGGGCUACCAGUGCCGCCACACCAAGGUGCAGCAAAGGGCGGCACUUGGGGACAGAGCCAGGAAGUUCCUCAGCUCUCAGGCCUCCGUCCCUUGCCUGUGACAGGGCCCACAGAGGACCUGCAGAGGACAGAUGGCGGUGGGGAGCUGCAAGCUUGGCUGGUGCUCCGAGAGGAGUGAGGGCAGCCUGUGGAGUCGUGCUCAGCGUGCAGCCACGCGCCUCCUGUGCCCAGGGCCGGCCCAGGUCCCCGCUGUCAGGCGCAAGUCCUCCGUGCAGUGCCGUGAUGUCUGUGUGUCCCGACGUGGCCUCCCACACAGUUCACACCAUCUCAGCUUGCUCACGGCGUCCAGCGCAAAGAGAAGGCCGUGCGAGCGUCGCAGCACUUGCUCACAGGGACAGUGACGAGGAGGAAGCCUGCUGGCGCAGCACAGAAGCACUUUAUCCCAGUGUUUUCCAGCUGAAGCUGGCUGAGCCUGAGCGUGCACGGGCCGACUGCACCCUGGCUCCCGGCCCUAGCCCAGCACCUCUCGUUCUUCAGCUGCUGAUGGGGGCUGGGGACCCAGGGCUGCGGGGUCCACCUGGGAGCCCGGGACCAGGCAUCAUGACUGGAACCUGCUCUGAAAUGGCUGGGAGUGGCAGGAUGGACCCCACUCAGACGGAAGGGACCGACCUUCAUAAUCAAUGCCUUGACAACCAAAGCCCGGUACUCGGUACUCAGAGGCCCCAUCUCUCCUGCCCCCAGGCCUUCCUCCUCCUCCCUCCCCGUGAGAGUCUUGGUUUCAGAGUUGGUGGGGAUCCUGGGUUCCCCAUUCCCCUCCUCUGGCCCCUGGGAGUUCUCCUUCCUGAGUCUUUCUAUUCCAGGAAACUCACACAGGGCGGGUGUGAGGCUCAGCCGGAGAGUGUGUGCUUGGCAUGCAUGAGUUCAAGCCCCAGCUGCAAACAGAAGGAAAAGAAAAUACCCAGAAACUUCAUGUAAGGGGAAUCCACCCUGUUUGUUCUGUGUUUGUGGUUGAUUAUGCUUAAUAGAGUGUCUCCAGCAUUCAUCCUUAUAGUAGCACGGCACAAUUCUAUCCGGUACAAUUCUAUCCUCCAGGGCUGUCGUGAUCCCUUAUGCGUACACGAUUUUGCGAGUUUACUCAUCCUGGGUUGGUCCCACCUUUACCACUGUGAACAUAGUGGUGCUUAUCUGUUCGGUUUCUGCUUUCACUUCUUUGGGGUGUGCCAGAGGCGAAAGUGCUGUCCUGGGACUUCACGCUUCAGUCUGGAGCCAGGAGGGUUGUGAGCGCUCCUGGUUCUAAGGCGCAGCCAGAGCCAGGAGCCUGGAGGUCAGGCUGCAGCUGAACUUCCUGCCGUGACUUAGCCCUCUGGGAAGAAGCCACAGCCCAGGUCAGCUAAAGCAGCCUCCCAGAGGGGACCCCACACUGCGUUCCCACUGCCCCGUGAGUCCCAGCAGCGGCAGGUUGGGGGGACCCCUGUGUGCACUGGCACCUCUCAGGUCCCAGCCACGCCCUGCUGGGAAUGCAGACUCUGAGGGCCCAGAGCGGCUUCCUCCCCGCAGCCCUGGUUACUCUAGUAUGCAGCCCGCUCAGACCUGCUGACCCUGUUCAGUCCUGGCAAAAGCGAGAACCCGGCCGAGGUGCAGCUCUGGGGCUCGGGUUGGAUUGCUAAGGGACAUGGUGGUAUUGAGCACAGUGAGGCCACAUUGGUCCUGAGGUGGGAGGAAAAAAUACAGGUAGAAAGGGCGAGGAAAUAAUUGUAAUGUUUGAGAAAACUGCAGCUUCCAGACAAGGUCAAAGUUAUCCAAGGUUCCAGUCCUCUCACCGAGUCCUGUUUCUUUCUUCCAGCUCCGCCCUCCUAAGUUCCUAAGAGUCUUAAGAUCAUGUUAUCCGUAAACCGGAUCUGUGUUUUUCUUCCAGUCCUAUAAAUUCACAAUUCCACGGGCUGCCACCCUUGGGGAAACAGCACCAUUUAUGGGGCACGUUGCCUCUGAACUUCACGUACAUGCUUCUAACAUGCACUCAGUACAUUGAUCUUAACUGAGGUCAUGGGGUCUGGUUUUUCUUUAGCCCACUAAUGGGUAACCUGACAGACUCAGGUAACUUAAGCAUAACUCAAAGGGUAAACAUCCCAGUCACCCAUCUCGAGGACACCCCUAGACCACACAGAUCUCCCCUGGAUCCUAAUCCUGCCAUAAUAUUUGUUUUGAAAUUUGAAUUUGUUUCCAAUACCAGUGAUAUUAGGGAACAUUGACAUAUUAGGGAGGAUUAUUAUUAAUUUUUUUGGUACCGGGGAUCAAACUCGGGUCCCUUGUGCUUGCGCAGCAGGCGGCGAAACCACUGAGCUAAAUCCCCAGCCCUAGGGAGGAUUACUGAUACAUCACACUCCGGGAUCCAUGUAUCACCCUGUCUAGAGUGCUCUCGGGGCUCCCACCCCAAGACACAGGCUUUCUUUGGAUCUUGGGAGAAGCCCCCAGAGCCCAUAACCUGCUCGCAUACCCAGCACACCAGGAAGGCGUGCUGCAGCAGCCUGCGAACCAGGGCCCAGGAAGGCUGAGGUGCUCUGGGCAAGCAAGGCACCCAGGGGUCUGUCUCAAAAGACUCUUGGAACAGACUUUCAGGGGCUCAGAGCGGUGGGCGUGGCCCUGUCCCUUCCUGAGGUGCCCAUGGGGCAUCUUUCCUGUCUGUCAUUCCCCUGCCAAGCAUUUCAUUUACUAACCACAUCCUCCUUGGCCCAAGCCCUGCACCCACCUCCACUUGCAAUCGGACUUCCAUCUUCACAAGCCAGGAGCCACAUCUACUACAGUAUUUAUUUCUUUUCUUUUAUUUUUUUGGUACCAG